GACGAACGCUGGCGGCGUGCUUAACACAUGCAAGUGGAGCGACGAACCGGGCUUCGGCCCGGGGCAAAGCCGCGAACGGGUGAGUAUCACGUGGGUAACCUGCCCCGAUGACCGGGACAACCCGAGGAAACUCGGGCUAAUACCGGAUGUGCUCCUCGCACAUCAGUGCCAGGAGUAAAGGAAGCUUCGGCCUCCGCAUUGGGAUGGGCCCGCGGCCCAUUAGCUUGUGGGGGAGGGAAAGGCUCACCAAGGCGACGAUGGGUAGCUGGUCUGAGAGGACGAUCAGCCACACUGGGACUGAGACACGGCCCAGACUCCUACGGGAGGCAGCAGUGGGGAAUCUUGCGCAAUGCGCGAAAGCGUGACGCAGCAACGCCGCGUGAGGGAAGAAGGCCUUCGGGUUGUAAACCUCUUUCAGGAGGGACGAAGGUUCAGGCGCGAAUAGCGUCCUGGACUGACGGUACCUCCAGAAGAAGCCCCGGCUAACUACGUGCCAGCAGCCGCCGUAACAC
rnacentral:rRNA from 1 species